CCUACGGGAGGCAGCAGUGAGGAAUAUUGGUCAAUGGGCGCGAGCCUGAACCAGCCAAGUCGCGUGAGGGAAGACGGUCCUAUGGAUUGUAAACCUCUUUUGUCGGGGAGCAAAAGACGCUACGCGUGGCGUUCCGCGAGUACCCGAAGAAAAACCAUCGGCUAACUCCGUGCCAGGGGCCGCGGUAAUACGGAGGAUGCGGGCGUUAUCGGGUUUUAUUGGGUUAAAGGGGUGCGCAGGCGGAAGAUCAAGUCAGCGGUAAAAUUGAGAGGCUCAACCUCUUCGAGCCGUUGAAACUGGUUUUCUUGAGUGCGCGAGAAGUAUGCGGAAUGCGUGGUGUAGCGGUGAAAUGCAUAGAUAUCACGCAGAACUCCGAUUGCGAAGGCAGCGUACCGGCGCCCAACUGACGCUGAAGCACGAAGGCGUGGGUAUCGAACAGGAUUAGAUACCCGAGUAGUC
rnacentral:rRNA from 1 species